rnacentral:rRNA from 1 species
AAGACCUACCCGGCCAGUCCGACCGAGAGACCUCCGGGUCCCCACGUGGCGAACGGGUGAGUCACACGUACGGGAACCCGCCCGCGCACCGGGAAUACGCUCCGGAAACGGAGAACAAAUCCCCGAUGUACAGGAAGGAGGCAUCUUCCUUUCCGUGAAACAUCCUCUAGGGGAUCGGGGCGCGGAUGGACCUGCGGUGCAUUAGUUGGUUGGCGGGGUAAAGGCCCACCAAGACGAUGAUGCAUAGCCGGCCUGAGAGGGCGGACGGCCACAUUGGGACUGAGACACGGCCCAGACUCCUGCGGGAGGCAGCAGUAGGGAAUUUUCGUCAAUGGGCGCAAGCCUGAACGAGCGAUGCCGCGUGAGUGAAGAAGGGUUUCGGCUCGUAAAGCUCUGUUGGUAGUGAAGAAAGAUAGAGGUAGUAACUGGCCUUUAUUUGACGGUAAUUACUUAGAAAGUCACGGCUAACUACGUGCCAGCAGCCGCGGUAAUACGUAGGUGGCAAGCGUUGUCCGGAUUUAUUGGGCGUAAAGCGAGUGCAGGCGGUUCAAUAAGUCUGAUGUGAAAGCCUUCGGCUCAACCGGAGAAUUGCAUCAGAAACUGUUGAACUUGAGUGCAGAAGAGGAGAGUGGAACUCCAUGUGUAGCGGUGGAAUGCGUAGAUAUAUGGAAGAACACCAGUGGCGAAGGCGGCUCUCUGGUCUGCAACUGACGCUGAGGCUCGAAAGCAUGUGUAGCGAACAGGAUUAGA